UAAGUAAAUAGGUACUAUCAGUGUAUGU
rnacentral:piRNA from 1 species